rnacentral:misc_RNA from 1 species
UCUCUUUCUCUCUCUCUAAACUCUGAACCUACAGCUUCUUCCGUUUCUUGCGUUUGAGCUUCCUUUUUUAUGCCAGUCUGGAGAUUCUUGAUUGACCAUUCACCUCUCUCUCCCUCCCCCUCUUCUCUAUUAUCUGUCUUGUUCUCUUGAACACCUAAAUCUCCUCCUUUGGGAGACCCAUCUCUACACUUCUUAUGUUUCUAUUUCUUUGCUUCAUGGCUAUUUUAAUGUAGAUUCUUGGUGUUUCUUGAUCCCCAUUUUCGAUUUAUUGUCAUUUUUUUAACUUACCAUUAAAAAUAAAAAAAAACAAAAGCUGACCAUUGAAAAUCACUCUCUCGCUCUUUGGAGUUCUGUGAUUCAUUGGAAAGAUUGAAGAAAUCAAAAUGUUUGACGGAUUAUUGAAGUCGAAAUUUUAUACAAAAUGGUAUUUUUAUAAACCUUAAAUUCUUGAAGUUUUCUUCUUUUUUUGUUCAUGGUGCUCUGUUUUUCUUUUCCUCUUCCCAACCCUCUUAAUCAUUUUGUUGAUUCAGUUCAUUAUUAUUAUUUCACCUUCAAAACGGCUUUUUGGGUUUUUUGAUGGAUAUAGCAAGUCGCAGAUGAAGAUGACAAAGGCUCGACUCGAGAUGCUAAAGAAGAAGAAGAGCUCGGUGGCAAAGUUCUUAAAGGAUGAUAUGGCUGAUCUUCUCAGGGGUGGCCUUGAUUACAAUGCUUAUUGCAGGGCUGAAGGGCUUCUGGUUGAGCAAAAGAUGUUAGCUUGCUUCAAUUUCGUUGAGCAGUUCUGUGGAUGCAUCUCCAGCAAUCUUUCUGCCAUGAGUAAACAGAGGGAAUGCCCUGAGGAAUGCAGAGAAGCUGUACAAUCUCUAAUAUAUGCUGCAGCAAGAAUUGCCGAAUUCCCAGAACUGAGAGAUCUUCGUACCCUAUUAACGGAAAGAUAUGGUGGUCAUCUUGAAUCUUUUAUAAAUAAACAGUUUGUUGAGACAUUGACGCCAACGCCUACCACAAAGGAGAUGAAGCUUCUGUUAAUGCAUGAAAUAGCAGAAGAAUUCAAUAUAGAAUGGAAUUCAAAGUCUUUGGAACAGAAAAUCUUCAAACCGCCUCAGGAGGACCAGAAUAGUCAUUGUCCCAAAAGCAAUGAUGAUAUUGUCCCGAAAGGAGACUGCCAGGACGAUGAUGAAAAUGGAAACAAACGGAAGAAAAACAAGGAAGAUUUGACAAAAAGAACAAACCAUGAAACCGAACUUGCAUCUCAUGGAAGGAAGAAUGCCAUCGAUAAGGGAUACAAUCUGCCUUGCAGCGGUGAAGAUGAGGUGUUUUCUCUCCACAGGAGAGAUAGCAGUGAUCUCGAUAGCCUGCAAGCUACUUCAAGUUCAGCAGGAAGUGUUUCAGAGGAUGAAGUGGAUAGCAAGAAGCCCUUCUACAGAUUCGUUAAUCCCCCUUACGUCAAACCAAAAGUGGAAAAAGAAGAAAGCAAGAUUGAAGAACCCCCAAAACUAACUGGCAAUGUUGUUGCUGAAGAUGAUUUGGUUAGUGAAGGUAACCCAAAAACAAGAUCAGUCCGAAGGAGACCAUUGAAGCCACCUCCAGGUCAUGAAGAUGUUGGCAUUGUUGAAAGACCAUUGAAGGCACCAACUGGCCUUGAAAAAUUUGUCAGUCCUGGAAAUGGUGGGCUUGCAAAGGCUAAUUCAAGUGCAGUACUGAAAGAAGAUGGGGCUAAGAGGGGUUCAAGAAUCUCGCAAGCAGAUGAGGUUGAUCAAAAGGAUGAAGAGGAAGAGAUGAUUGAUGGACUUCUGAUGCAUUACAGCAAGGAUUCAGUGAAACCAUAUCUAAAACCUCCUCCAAAUAUCAGAGGCACAAAAUCUGAGUCACCUCUUCCGCCUGGUGGAGAAGUAUACCAAGCAGCAGCAGCAAGUCCAAAGAAGGCUGCUAAAAGGCAUAAUCGAGUAGUUUCAUUGCAGCCAGAGACUGGACAUGUGCACCCUAACCUGCCUGAUUACGAAGAUUUGGCAGCUUGGUUUGCAGCUCUUAAGAGCAGAUAAUAGAAAAUGGGAUUAUGAUCGUCAGCGCCUAAUACUUAUAAUCUAAUUUUUCAGUUUGUAAGCAUUUAAAAGUUUAAUUAGUUAAUUGUUUAGUUAUAAUGCUUAUAAGUGAACGAGAAAUAACAUUUUAAGUAAAAAUAUCUUAUAA